rnacentral:rRNA from 1 species
AGAGCGAACGCUGGCGGCAGGCCUAACACAUGCAAGUCGAACGAACUCUUCGGAGUUAGUGGCGGACGGGUGAGUAACACGUGGGAACGUGCCUUUUGGUUCGGAACAACUCAGGGAAACUUGAGCUAAUACCGAAUGUGCCCUUCGGGGGAAAGAUUUAUCGCCAUUAGAGCGGCCCGCGUCUGAUUAGCUUGUUGGUGAGGUAAUGGCUCACCAAGGCUACGAUCAGUAGCUGGUCUGAGAGGAUGAUCAGCCACAUUGGGACUGAGACACGGCCCAAACUCCUACGGGAGGCAGCAGUGGGGAAUCUUGCGCAAUGGGCAAAGCCUGACGCAGCCAUGCCGCGUGAAUGAUGAAGGUCUUAGGAUUGUAAAAUUCUUUCACCGGGGACGAUAAUGACGGUACCCGGAGAAGAAGCCCGGCUAACUUCGUGCUAGCAGCCGC